GGAAGGAUCAUUAACACACUCCAAAACAUUUUUUUAGUCCAUAUCUUAAAUGAUAGUCUGAUUUGAAUUGGCAGCCCUGGUGGCGGAUUCAUUUUCAAAAUCACAAUGACCGUAGACGAUGGAUGACUUGGCUUGUACACCGAUGAAGAGCGCAGCUAGCUGCGAUAAGUAGUGUGAAUUGCAGAAUUCUGUGAAACACUAAAUCCUUGAACGCAUCCGGCGCCUGUGAGCAAUCACAGGUACACCUGGUUGAGUGCGGCAUCUUUCUUCUUGAAUAAUGGAGAUACCCCAAUUUUAUUGGGAUUCAAGGUGUUGGGGAGUUCGGUUUACGUCUAGCGACAAACAACCGUUCCCUUAAAUAUCAGUACUUUGAGAAACAUUGCACCUGUCGAGUUUUCCUUCUGCAAGUUUACUUGCAGCAGUUGUUAUAUCAGUAUAAACGGGUAGUGGGUUGUACUGACAACAGCUUUUUGGAACAAUUCUUCAUCUGUAGUGUCUCUUGUUGUGGUGCCUUGCUUUCCUUGUCCACGAAUUUCGUGUUGGAGGAAUGCGUAUGCAUUGGCAAUAUCCAGAAAUGGACAUGGUAUUUGUUUAGACUCGUUUGUAGUCACCACUCAAAAACUGCUGCCUCAACUCAGGUGGGACAACCCCCUGAACUUAAGCAUAUCAAUAAGGGGAGGAAAAGAAACUAACCAGGAUUCCCUUAGUAACUGCGAGUGAAACGGGAAAAGCUCAUACCUUAAUCUGGCGUGGUUAUCUGCGUCCGAAUUGUAGUGUUUGGAUUGGUACACAGUGAGUCCCAUAGGAGAAAGUGUGCUGGAACGCACUGCCACAGAGGGUGACAGCCCCGUACUUCUAUUGGUGGCUUUCUUACUGUACCUUUCCUAGAGUCGGUAUGUUUGGGAGUACAUACCUAAGUGGGAGGUAAACUCCUUCUAAAGCUAAAUACGGGUACAAGACCGAUAGCGAACAAGUAGCGUGAGCGAAAGUUGCAAAGAACUCUGGAGAGAGAGUUAAAGAGUCCCUGAAAUCGUCUACGGGUAAGCGUUUGGCUUGACUCGUGUUGCUGGUGGCUCACCUACUGGUGAGACACUCUUGUACUGCAGCGGAAUCGGCCUUUGUGCUGGUCCCUACGGCGCGGAGUGUUUUACUGGUGGGGCACUCCAUCAGUAGCGGCCAUCGUCGGUGUUGACUUCGGCAAAAAGGUAGCGGUUUGGUGCCAUGCUGUAGGUUUCGGCCUGCAGUGUGGAUUUAAGCUGUUGCUGUAGCUGUCGUUGGUACUGUCGCAUUAGCCAGUGCAGUGCGGUAUGGGUUUGUUCCGAGUGUUGUUGGUCAGGAGGACAGCUUGCUGUGCUUUUGGCUAGUGGUGCUCAAUGGGCAGGCUCAGCAACUAUUGGCUAUUACGAUGACUUGAGUUGGGCUAAAUGUCCCGUCUUGAAACACGGACCAAGGAGUCUAACAUGUGUGCGAGCCUAAGAGUUCAAAACUUGCAGGCGCAAUGAAAGUGAUUGGAUGGGACAGGUAGCACUGCGGUGCUGCCUUGCACCAUCGGCCCAUUGUCUUCCUCGGAGGAUGGUGGAGUUAGAGUACACCUGUUAGGACCCGAAAGGUUGCGAACUAUGCCUGCAUAGGACGAAGCCAGGUGAAAACCUGGUGGAGGUCCGAAGCGAUACUGACGUGCAAAUCGUUCGUCAAAUGUGGGUAUAGCGGCGAAAGACUAAUCGAGCAGCCUAGUAGCUGGUUCCCUC
rnacentral:misc_RNA from 1 species